UACGAGGGGUGCAAGCGUUGUUCGGAAUUACUGGGCGUAAAGGGCUCGUAGGUGGCCAACUAAGUCAGACGUGAAAUCCCUCGGCUUAACCGGGGAACUGCAUCUGAUACUGGAUGGCUUGAGAUUGGGAGAGGGAUGCGGAAUUCCAGGUGUAGCGGUGAAAUGCGUAGAUAUCUGGAGGAACACCGGUGGCGAAGGCGGCAUCCUGGACCAACACUGACGCUGAGGAGCGAAAGCCAGGGGAGCAAACGGG
rnacentral:rRNA from 1 species